CGCAUAACUCAAGAGCUGCCACUGUGUAACAGAGACGACUGCCUUCACAGCUCAAAAUAACUCAAUGUUUGCCAGGACCGAACAUCAGCAGAGUUUUCCUCUGCUCCCAAAAAUGUCUCACUCCCUAGAACUGUUCCCCUAAACUGAAUAUUCACCAAUGCUGGCUGAUGAGCCAACUGAAAAAUACAUUGAAACCUCCACUUGCUGAGCCAGUCUUCAAACCAAACUCCACAGAAAGACAGUACUAAUGCAACUAGAGGGAGUGCCUCUAAAGACUGAGCCUUCAUGCAGACACAGAGCACAGAGGUACAGGAUAUAGUUCAUCUCAAAUAGGACAGGAAUUCCUAUCUUGUAUACUAUAAUCUGCUUUUGUCAAGGUGGAGGAGAGAUGGGUCUGGUUAUCACUUGGAGUUUGGUUAUACAUAUGCCUUUCUAUUGCUGUUUGGGGCACUUUGCACCAGGCAACAUCUACGCAAUCAUCAUCUUGUGACCUCCAGGAGAAAGAGGCUGGAGUCACCAACUCAACAUUAAGCUUCCAGACCCUGGGUCUGGGUUAGGACCAUUACCCCAAGGUGAGGGUAUCACCAGUAGAGGACCUCCUGCUAAAUUGCAAUUCCUCUGCUCCAGUUUCAUGAUACCAAGGAGGAUUUCUCAAGAUGGUAUCUCUGAGCUCUGUGAUUUCAUGAGCCACACCAAGGAACCUUCCCAACUACAACUGAAGAAGAUCCUCCCUUCAAACCUGCUAAAAUUGGACAGGUUUCUCCCCGGCAUUCAACUGGAAGCUGUAGCAAUGGGUUUCUUCAGCUGUUGGCUCAUGAGUUCCCUGGCACGAGAGACUUGAAUGUGUUCGUAACAUGAGUUACAGACGAGAACUGGGUCAUAGAGUUGCUGAUCAGGAAUGGGCAGCUUCAGGUGGCAGCAUCCAGCACAAAAUACAUUCCCACAAUUUCUGUCAAAGCAGAAAGAGGGAAGAGUUCAUCAGAAAUGCCAACAUACUGGCCAGGCAGGGUGACUCACACCAGUAAUCCCUGCACUUUGGUAGGCUGAGGCAGUAGAAUCGCUUGAGGCCAGGAGUUUGAGACUUGCCUGAGCAACAUAGCAAGAGCCCAUCGCUAAUAAAAAAAUAAUUAAUUAAUUAAUAUUAAGAAAUGCCAAUAUACUGAGAAUGAGUGAUACUAAAUGAAAAGUUGGGGACAAACAAAAAUAGUUUCUGUAAAGAGGUGUCCACUUCAAAACUAAUUCCACUUAGUUCUAUACAUAUGUAUUACACUAUUUUUGUUUUUGUUUUUUGUCCUUUUUGAGACAGAGUCUUGCUCUGUUGCCAGGAUGGAGUGCAGUGGCAUAAUCUCGGCUCACUGCAACCUCUAGCUCCCUGGUUCGAGCUAUUCUCCCGCCUCAGCCUCCAGAGUAGCUGGGAUUACAGGCAUGCGCCACCAUGCCCAGCUAAUUUUUGUAUUUUUAGUGGAGACAGGUUUUACCAUGUUGGCCAGGAUGGUCUCAAUCUCCUCACCUCAUGAUCCGCCUGCCUCGGCCUCCCAAGGUGUUGGCAUUACAGGUGUGAGCCACUGCGCCUGGCCUGCCCUGUUUUUUGAGUCAUACUAAAUCAUACAAAACAUCUUACCUGCAAUGGUGUCUUCGUUUGGCCAACCAGAAUUCACAGUCACAGUUAUAGCAGUGUGAUGCCAUAUGGUCUGGAACCCAGCGAGUCACCUAAUAGAAGGCACAAAGAAAAAUUCCUGGUCCUUGUUGACAGACUGGAAGAGCAACAUUGCAAUGAGGAAAGCACCCCAGGAGAAAGUGACAAGGCUUAUCUUCAUAACUGGCUACCAUUUGCCUACCAGGCUGACACUCCUCUGGGGGACAGCUCAGUCUACAGCAUGUCAUUCAUCUCUGGAAAAUAUGAUGACUCACUGGCUCACCCCAGGCACCUAACUCAGUGGCACACAGCAAGUACCCAACGAAUAAAUGCUGAAUGGAGGGAAGGCUGGAUGAACAGAGUAAAUAAUGGGUGUAUGGCAGUUGGUGACUACUUACAAAAUCAUCCUCAUAGUCCAUGGGGGGCUCUGCUGGAGGGGCACAGCAGUGACGGAUAUCCAGCCUCAUCUGAAGCUCACGCACCUGUCGACGUAGCUGCUCCACCUCUUGUUUGUACCCUGCUUCGAUUUGCCGUAACCUAUGCUGGAUCACAUCCGUGGGAAAGGGGAGUCCAUCAUCAUCCAAAUAGAGAGGAGGCACUGGAGAAGGGCAGGUCAGUGGAACGGGCUUUGUGCUAGAGACUUGCUUUGGAUGACCGGACAACCACAUCUGGUUCUUUCCUCCUGGGCCAGUACAAUGUCCAUUGGAAUGACUAGAACAGACAGGUGACUUCACACCUUCUCUCUGAGCCCACUGGCCCCCAAAGCAGGGCCCUGUGGCCCGCAUCUGCUUACUGUUUGGCCUCUUGCUACAACAGCCAUAGGAAAGCAGCCGCCGAGGGGUGGCCUCCCCACUUGGGAAUGAAGUCACCAUCCCUUGGAAGCUGUCCCAGUUGGACCCUAGAAAAGAGAACUCACUGAUCUGGCUCUGAGAAAUUGGCUUCCGGACCAAUUCCAAUGGCAUUUUCCCAAAGCGAGGAUUUUCCAAUAACUGCCCAUUCCUAUUAUUUCCUCUUUUACCAAUGUCUUCCUCCCCAUGGGUCAGAUCCGGCACAGAACUCAGUUGUUCCUGGUGGGAGAUACUUGCCACAGACCCUGAGGGAUCUUGGUUGAGGAAGUCAGCGCUUGGGUCUAGAGGAGUUUGGCAGGCAGCACUUGGUGGGUUGCAAACGGUGCUGAGGCUGUGAUCAAGAACACAUUUGGAGGGCACACCUAGCAUGGAGUCUGGCUGGGCCUGUUGGGGCGUACCUGUAGGAGAGUUCUGGGAAGACUCAGGAAAAUUACAAACUCCAUCACACUUGUUAGAAAUGACCUUGGAGAGUGCACUGACAGCUUCUGUUUCAGGACAAUGUUCAGGUGGCUCCCCUAUGCCAUCUAAAGUCCUACCCAGCUCAUCCUGGGCAGAAGGGUCUGGAGCUGGUCCCUUAGUCUCUUCCAGGACUUUGAUCUCAGGAUCAGAGGUGUUGCUCUUCAUUUCCCGAGGCACUGCGGUAUUAAGCUGUUUGUAACUUGGAGAACAGCUUUUGUGACUCUUGAAAGGUUUAUUGCUCAAGUAGUCUUUCUGGCUGCUGGGCAGAGGAGGAGGAAGACCCACUUCUCCUACAGUUUGCUGAGGCCCUCCUACCCCAGAGUCCACAAAGCUUGUCUCUGAUCCCUCAGGAUUGCUGUGCCAGGGCUCCAGGCCUACCCUGACCUCCUGACAGUGGUUAUUCAGGUUAGGGUCACUGGAUGUACGAGUCAGGGGGCUGCUUGUGUCACAGGCAGAAAGAAGAUCAUCCAUGGAUCUGGUUUUAGGUAAUCUGGAAAGACAAAUAUAACACCUCCAGGUCAGGAGAUGGGCACUUGCAAUACAAUAUAUGGAACUGAAUCAAUGGAGCAAUAUCAAAGCCAGAGUUUAGAAAUAAUGACACUUAAGAACACUUAAGUUUAGAAAUAAGGACCCUAAAGAUCACAAAUAACCAAUGUUCACUGAAAGUUUACUCUGUAAAAAAAGCAUGAGACAUGGACCCUGUCCUCCGGAACCCAAAAAUCUAUCCUCAGCUUUUGUCAGCACUCAACCUACCAGUCUCCCUGGGCAAUCUCAACCACUACAGUGGUUUCAGCUGCCUUCUAUGCCAAUGCCUUCUGAAUCUACUGUUCCAGCUAGGACUAUACCUGAGACUCAAACCCAAUAUCCCACUGCCUCCAUCACAGUAAAACAGAAAGAAGAUGGGUUUUGGAGCUAGACAAUAUUGGCUCUGACGCUAAUUAGCUACAUGACUACAAAUAAGUAAAUUAACCUCUCAGAUACUUGGUUUCUCCCUUUAUACAAUGAUGAUAAUAAAUCAUACCUUGUAGA